GCCGGGGAUUCAGGAGGCUGUGUGUUGGGGGUCAGUGGCCCCAGUGUGUUGUUGUGGGUUGAGCGGUGCUUGUCCAGUCUAUCAGUUAGAAAAGAGUCCCAAGUCAAGGUUUCCACCCUCGGCAGGUCAGGGCAUCUCUGCUGGCCUUUCUCAGCUUCACGGUGGUCCGUGAGUUUGUUCCGAGCGGAGGACAGGACUGUAAAAAGGAGGGGGGGGGGGCUGGCGUUCCCAGCGGGGUCUGGCGCGUGCGCGCACGACCUGCGGGGAAAAGGGCGCACCUUUGGGAUCAAGAGGAAGAGUGAUUGGCACUGUGGCCAUAGGCUCCAAGUCCUUGGGAGGAUGCCAUGGAAACAGAAGGGAGCUUCACUCCACUCUACCUCCUCUGAGCGCAGCUCUUCUCGGCGGGACCCACGCCCUCAUUAAACACUUGAAUGGAUCAGUGUGUAUGAGCCAUCCCAGUCUCAAAAAUACGCAUGAGAGAUGGGAAAUCUGGCUCUACCAGGAGUAAAGCUUCUUAUCGACUGUACGAAGAAGGAAUCAAGAUAGUGCCAGGAUAGAAAGAAAAUGCUUGGUGGAAAGAUACAGCCCGGUCUCCAUGGACGGUUGAGUUAUAACAAAGGUGGCAGGCUCCACAAAGCAUUAGGGGAAAGGACUCGCUUUCUGUAGGCUAUUCUGGGGCAGUUG